UACGUAGGGUGCAAGCGUUGUCCGGAAUUAUUGGGCGUAAAGAGCUCGUAGGCGGUCUGUCGCGUCGGCUGUGAAAACCCGGGGCUCAACCCUGGACCUGCAUUCGAUACGGGCAGACUAGAGUUCGGCAGGGGAGACUGGAAUUCCUGGUGUAGCGGUGAAAUGCGCAGAUAUCAGGAGGAACACCGGUGGCGAAGGCGGGUCUCUGGGCCGAAACUGACGCUGAGGAGCGAAAGCGUGGGGAGCAAACAGG
rnacentral:rRNA from 1 species